AUUUUUGUAGUUGAUUUACAACGGCGGUUUUUCAUGCUGCAGGACUCAAUUGAGUAAAAAUU
rnacentral:tRNA from 1 species